GGCCUCGUAGUUCAGUUGGCUAGAGCGUUGUCUGUGUGGCAUGGGUUCGAAUCCCACUGUGGCCG
rnacentral:tRNA from 1 species